rnacentral:tRNA from 1 species
GCCCGGCUGGCGCAAUCGGCAGCGCAUAUGACUUCUACUUUCUCCCUUUUUUUCCAAAGGGAGAAAGGGAGGUAAUCAUGAGGUUCCCGGUAGAGCCCGGGGUUGGGCU